rnacentral:tRNA from 1 species
GACACUUUGGCCGAGUGGUUAAGGCGGCGGCCUGCUAAGCCGUUGGGCAGCGAAUCCAGAAAUCUCCUGACUCAAGUCA